GACGAACGCUGGCGGCGUGCUUAACACAUGCGAGUCGAACGGAAAGGCCCUGCUUUUGUGGGGUGCUCGAGUGGCGAACGGGUGAGUAACACGUGAGUAACCUGCCCUUGACUUUGGGAUAACUUCAGGAAACUGGGGCUAAUACCGGAUAGGAGCUCCUGCUGCAUGGUGGGGGUUGGAAAGUUUCGGCGGUUGGGGAUGGACUCGCGGCUUAUCAGCUUGUUGGUGGGGUAGUGGCUUACCAAGGCUUUGACGGGUAGCCGGCCUGAGAGGGUGACCGGCCACAUUGGGACUGAGAUACGGCCCAGACUCCUACGGGGGGCAGCAGUGGGGAAUAUUGCACAAUGGGCGGAAGCCUGAUGCAGCAACGCCGCGUGCGGGAUGACGGCCUUCGGGUUGUAAACCGCUUUCGCCUGUGACGAAGCGUGAGUGACGGUAAUGGGUAAAGAAGCACCGGCUAACUACGUG
rnacentral:rRNA from 1 species